GCACCGUCUCCACAGCAACGCCGUUGCCAGUCCGCGCUCAGGGCUUCGGCCCCGCGGGAGGCGCGCUCGGAUGACGUCACGCCCCCGCGCCGCUUGGGUGACGUCACCCCGGCUCGGAGGAGGGCCCCGCCGACCUGCCGAUGUGAAGGCGGCUGGGCGUCGUCUCAGGUUGGGGCGUCUGUCGCUCCGAAACACCUAGUCGUGAGCGAGUGCGGUCGAGGGCGGCUCGCUGCUGCGCCCUCAGUCUGUCCCGGGAACCCAUCGGAGGUGCUGCUGUCCCAUCUGGCUCUCUCGGAGCUGUCUGGAGGGCACAGAUCCGAGAAUCAGACCAAUUCAGUCCCUUCUCGUCGGCCUCUUACGUCUGCUGGUGCAUUCCUCGUAGAAUCCAUAAUGCCUCCUACCAGUCCGAAAAUGCUAGUUGAAUUCCCAGAUUGCUUUUGCCAGCGAGUUUCCGUAGCAGGCCAUCUCCUUUUCCAGACCGGUGCUUGUAAGAUGAGCAAGCAAAGUUUUAGGCUCUGGUUGUAAAGGAAGGGUAACCAGACUCCCUCCGACUGAGGGCCUCAGAAGUUCUCCGGGUCAGGAUUUGAACUUUCAAGGGCUUGGGGCUUCUCUUGACUGCUCGUGGUUCUUUCCGAUUGUUGGCUAGCAUGCAAAGGGUCGACCUGGCCAAGUAAAUGAGCUGCAGGUAAAUGAAGUGUCACUGUCGUGAAACUUACGAAGCAGCCGCUUCUGUCUCGCGCAGUGCUGACCCCGGCCAUGCAGUGAUGAUGAGAGUCUCUGCCAGCAAGGAGAACUCCCUUCGUUGAUUAAUUCAAGAAACACUUGUUGGCCAUCAACUGUGUGCGAGGCACAGUUUAGAUUGUUACUGUCCGUCGAAAGAAUGAAGUUGAUUUAGGACCUAGCAUGUGGCUAGAGGUCAGAUUUGAUUUUGAGCCCGGGCUCUGCUGAGUGAUCCUGGUCGCUGUCUACCUCAGGCUGUCCACAGAGGACACCGGCGCUGGUGGAAAACAGCCCCCUGACCAGCACACAGCCUCAGAGGUCGUCCACAGAUUCUCCUCAAAUUGUUUUAAAAACAGCUUUCACCCAGACUCUGCUUUCUGUGGGUCUGUAUGCUGAGGCAAGGUUAUAUUUAGGCAGAACCCUCCUACCUCAUCCCCAGAAAGUUCCUCUAAAACCACCUAAUCCAAAAGGAAAAAAAAAAAUCCCUUUCUUCAAGUGCAUGGUGUCUUGAAGCUAAACAUGUGCCGGUGUGUUGGAGGGUGGCCUGGGAGAUUGGGUCACGUCCUGGGUCACUGUCUGGGGAGGGAGGAGGCACCAUAAGGGUUGGGGAGUGAAUGUCUGAUUCCCCUGUCACCACAAGGCCUGUGGUUUCCAGCCCUGUCUGCAUCCACGUCCCACUAAACAACAGUGGGAAAGCAAACAGACUUGUACACCAGCGGACACACACACACACACACACACACACACCCAGACUUGCACAGCCUGCAGAGGAAGUGGGGCACCAGAUGUUCUGGGUUUCCUGUUCGAUGCUUCCACAGCUGGUCGAGUCUGUGGUUGUGGUUUGUCUGUCUCGGGCUCAUGUGAGAGACAAAAGCUGGGCUGACGGGAAACCUCCCCUCUGGCCCCCCUUCCUCGGCUCUAACUGAUCAGUCACACGGAAACCUGGCAGGUCAGACAUUUCCUGAAACACCCAGAGCUUGGAUUCUCCCAGGAGGAGGCUGAAUCCCCCUGUGUCUGGGAAGCAGCCUCUGGGUCGAGGGUCAGUCCUCACAGAGCCUAGGGAGGACAGAAACAUCUCCGGGUUCACGAUUCAUAGAGAGCCACAUCCCUGCUGAACAGAAUGGAGCGGAGGCCAGGUUGCCACAGUCACUGAUCGGGCGCCUGGCAUAAAGCAGCCACUCAGAGACGCUCAGCACGGGGAGAAACGAACGAGGAACAGGGAACUUCACCUUUGGGGGCUGGAUCUCAGAGCUCCUGCUGGCCCUCCCUUCUCCUGAGUGGCUUUGGAUUCAGACAAAGGUCCGCAGCGUCACCAUGCCCCUGGUUUGCUGCAAGUAAUCCAGCCUCCCUGGGCCUGGUUUCCUCACCUGUAAAGUGGAGACAGUAAGAUCUGUUUCACAAAUUUGUGAGGCCCCGUGAGACGCGUGGAUUUGCUGGAUCAGGAGUCUUGCCCAUCAUAACUGCUCAAUAAAUGUCGGUUCCCUUU